GGCAAACUGCCUACCACAUGUAUUUUUCCAAGGCCUCCCAGUACCACCAAACAAGCCAGCUAAGGACAAACAAGCAGAACACAUGGAAUGAACUCAUGAUUCAGAACGACCAGAGUUUGCAUCUCAGCUCUGUCAUACCCAGCUAUGUUAAAUAUGCAAGUAAUUUUUCCUUCUGCAUCUCCCUUCUUCCCCCA
rnacentral:lncRNA from 1 species